rnacentral:rRNA from 1 species
AGAGUUUGAUCCUGGCUCAGGACGAACGCUGGCGGCGUGCCUAAUACAUGCAAGUCGAGCGGACAGAUGGGAGCUUGCUCCCUGAUGUUAGCGGCGGACAGGUGAGUAACACGUGGGUAACCUGCCUGUAAGACUGGGAUAACUCCGGGAAACCGGGGCUAAUACCGGAUGGUUGUUUGAACCGCAUGGUUCAAACAUAAAAGGUGGCUUCGGCUACCACUUGCAGAUGGACCCGCGGCGCAUUAGCUAGUUGGUGAGGUAAUGGCUCACCAAGGCAACGAUGCGUAGCCGACCUGAGAGGGUGAUCGGCCACACUGGGACUGAGACACGGCCCAGACUCCUACGGGAGGCAGCAGUAGGGAAUCUUCCGCAAUGGACGAAAGUCUGACGGAGCAACGCCGCGUGAGUGAUGAAGGUUUUCGGAUCGUAAAGCUCUGUUGUUAGGGAAGAACAAGUGCCGUUCGAAUAGGGCGGUACCUUGACGGUACCUAACCAGAAAGCCACGGCUAACUACGUGCCAGCAGCCGCGGUAAUACGUAGGUGGCAAGCGUUGUCCGGAAUUAUUGGGCGUAAAGGGCUCGCAGGCGGUUUCUUAAGUCUGAUGUGAAAGCCCCCGGCUCAACCGGGGAGGGUCAUUGGAAACUGGGGAACUUGAGUGCAGAAGAGGAGAGUGGAAUUCCACGUGUAGCGGUGAAAUGCGUAGAGAUGUGGAGGAACACCAGUGGCGAAGGCGACUCUCUGGUCUGUAACUGACGCUGAGGAGCGAAAGCGUGGGGAGCGAACAGGAUUAGAUACCCUGGUAGUCCACGCCGUAAACGAUGAGUGCUAAGUGUUAGGGGGUUUCCGCCCCUUAGUGCUGCAGCUAACGCAUUAAGCACUCCGCCUGGGGAGUACGGUCGCAAGACUGAAACUCAAAGGAAUUGACGGGGGCCCGCACAAGCGGUGGAGCAUGUGGUUUAAUUCGAAGCAACGCGAAGAACCUUACCAGGUCUUGACAUCCUCUGACAAUCCUAGAGAUAGGACGUCCCCUUCGGGGGCAGAGUGACAGGUGGUGCAUGGUUGUCGUCAGCUCGUGUCGUGAGAUGUUGGGUUAAGUCCCGCAACGAGCGCAACCCUUGAUCUUAGUUGCCAGCAUUCAGUUGGGCACUCUAAGGUGACUGCCGGUGACAAACCGGAGGAAGGUGGGGAUGACGUCAAAUCAUCAUGCCCCUUAUGACCUGGGCUACACACGUGCUACAAUGGACAGAACAAAGGGCAGCGAAACCGCGAGGUUAAGCCAAUCCCACAAAUCUGUUCUCAGUUCGGAUCGCAGUCUGCAACUCGACUGCGUGAAGCUGGAAUCGCUAGUAAUCGCGGAUCAGCAUGCCGCGGCGAAUACGUUCCCGGGCCUUGUACACACCGCCCGUCACACCACGAGAGUUUGUAACACCCGAAGUCGGUGAGGUAACCUUUUAGGAGCCAGCCGCCGAAGGUGGGACAGAUGAUUGGGGUGAAGUCGUAACAAGGUA